AAACACUGGUGAGGAAUUUCCAAAAUGUGAAAGCACAUCACGCAGAGGGCAUGGGAAUAUUACCCACAGUGCAGAGACCUUCCUCCAGAGCCAAAGGGCUAAAUGAAAUCAUCUGCCACCUGCAGAGCUGCAGGUGCCCUGUAGUGGCAGAGCACAACUCUGCAGCUGCUUCCGGUGCCUGCAGCGUGGAGGCUGAGAAUGAAAACACACAAGAAGCCUCGACAUCUUGAUGGAUACUCUGCUAUUGCUGCAGCAGCACAAAGCAGCAGCCUAAACCAACAGUGAACAGCUUAAACUGAGAGGCAGGGAGGUACUCUGUGUCCGUGUGAAUCCGAUGGGGGAGCUCAGCAAUGUGUUGCCCUUCACAAAGCAGCACAAAGUGAAUCGAUUUUGCCUCCUGUGCUGUAGCAUCCCACAGGUCAGCACAGUGUCAUGGGCUGUUUCCUGUGAACCAGGAGGGAACAAAGGACACGUUGCAAUGAGAUGCUUUCUGCUGACCAGCACCUUCUUAGCCUGCCCUGCCUCAGGUCCUGUCCUAGGUGUGAAAUAAAGGGUGAUUGUUUCUCAUGA